ACGAACGCUGGCGGCAUGCCUAACACAUGCCAGUCGCACGAGACCUUCGAGUCUAGUGGCGCACGUGUGCGUAACGCGUGUGAACCUGCCCUUAGGUUCGGCAUAACUCCCCGAAAGGGGUGCUAAUACCGGGUAAUGUCUUCGGACCAAAGAUUUAUCGCCUUUGGAUGGGCCCGCGUUGGAUUAGCUAGUUGGUAGGGGAAAAGCCUACCAACGCGACGAUCCAUAACUGGGCUGAGAGGAUGAUCAGCCACACUGGGACUGAGACACAGCCCAGACUCCUACGGGAGGGAGCAGUGGGGAAUAUUGGAAAAUGGGCGAUAGCAUGAUCCAGCAAUGCCGCGUGAGUGAUGAAGGCCUGAGGGUUGUAAAGCUCUUUUACCCGGGACGAUAAUGACAGUACCGGGAGAAUAAGCUCCGGCUAACUCCGUG
rnacentral:rRNA from 1 species